ensembl:lncRNA
AGAGGUCAGUGCUGUGGACGUCCUGCUGAGUCAACUGGCUACUCUUAUCAGAAGACAUCAGCGCUGCUGGAAGCUGAGGCAGAUGUGCUCUGAGAAUUCACUAUGCCGUUGCCAUGUUAAUCUGAGUCUGGCUUGUUGAGGAGGAGCCUGGGACCACCAAAGCUCUGUUUCAGCAAUCUUCUGCAGUCUUUCUUUUCUCUGGCUCACUGUGGAAUGCUGAUUAUGUGGAAGAAUGUUCCACAGCACAUCGGGCCACCUGAACUGACUCUUCCACAUCCCAAAGCUGUACCCCAUCCUAGAAGCCGUGUUUACAAAAAGGAAGUGAAGCACAAAGUUAAAGAUACUAAUCAAGUUAGGUUAAAGUCCCUUUAGCAUGACAACUCUACACUGUUGUGACAGAAUCUACAUUGUUGUUCACUGUUGUCUCCAGUGUCACAUGAUCCUUCAGAAAUCAUUCUAAUAUGCUGAUUUGGUUCUUAUGAAACAUUUCUAAUUAUUAUCAUUGUUGAAAGCAGCUUUUGUAGGAUUCUUACUGACCCUAACCUCUGAAUGGUAGUGUAGAUCAUUACAUUAGAUGCCGUAUAUGCUUGUCCUUAUUAACACUACAUCCUCAGAAGAACCAAAAAGCAGUGACGAGGAGUUCAACUCUGCAGAAAGUGAUGUUGAAGGUGAAGUGGACUUUCAGCACACCCACGACCCUAAAGCUGACGGCAUUCCUGCUCAUCAAACCACUCUCAGUUACUGGACACUCUCAACAAAGCCUCUGUACACAUGUGCAGAGCUAUUGUGCUGGCACAUCGGUGGGGUCACUGGACAACUUUACAAUGGGCGUGUCAGACUCUCUAGGAUCAAUCCAGCACAUUGGGCCUGAUGUUAGAGCGAACCCAUGGCCCUGAUGCCCAUGCCAGACAGCUGACGAUAGAGCAGCUAUAUACAGUGAUCACUCCCCUGUUGGUAGUAGCCUCAGAUCUUCUAAUGGACAUGAUGGAGAAGCUGAAGCUGUGGAAAGUUUAUGAUGAUCAAGAUGCAGAGCUUGAGGCCAGCCUGUACUUCUCUGCCCCAGUGGAUGACGGGACAGUUAUAUAUUUGCGCUGGCUGAGGACUCUGGUUCUGCACACAUUAGAGCUUCUGUACUAUCAGGCCAAGUGGGAGAAUCUCGCCCACCUCGCCCUACUUUUCAAUACAUAUACUUGGAAGCGCUACUCUCGCAUGGUAACACCUGUUCUGGUGCAUGCGCAGAGGAGGUUGUUGGACAGGAUCAGCUGUUUUGGGGACCCUCCAGCCCCCCAACCACACUUCACCUACACUGAGAUGAUCUCUGGAGAGAAGGUGACAUGCAGGAAUUAUGCAAGCAGACAGUUACUGUUUCCCUGUGGAGGAGGUCAGGUUAAGAUCACUGACCCAGAGCCCAAGAAACUUGCAGAUGUGAAGAAAGCCAUGCGUCUGGUGUGUGUACCGUUGGAUGUAGAGGACACACUGCAGUGUUUAAGAGAGACUGAAGAACAGACAUCACUCACUGCUGAACUUUCAGCACAGCCGAACUCUACUCCUGCUGCUAUUGGCAGACACAAAGCACUGCUUUGGACUGUGCUCUGCAAAGCUCUGGAGUUCUGGAAUCUUGGGAUGGUGACUCAUGGGGCAGCAGCUCCUCUCAGGAAACCCUGCAGUAUGCUGGGAUAUGGGGCUGUCUUCAGGGAGCUUUGCUUUCAGCCAAGAUUGCACAGCACAUCCUGA